rnacentral:rRNA from 1 species
GACGAACGCUGGCGGCGUGCUUAACACAUGCAAGUCGAACGGAAAGGCCCUGCUUUUGUGGGGUGCUCGAGUGGCGAUCGGGUGAGUAACACGUGAGUAACCUGCCCUUGACUUUGGGAUAACUUCAGGAAACUGGGGCUAAUACCGGAUAGGAGCUCCUGCUGCAUGGUGGGGGUUGGAAGGUUUCGGCGGUUGGGGAUGGACUCGCGGCUUAUCAGCUUGUUGGUGGGGUAGUGGCUUACCAAGGCUUUGACGGGUAGCCGGCCUGAGAGGGUGACCGGCCACAUUGGGACUGAGAUACGGCCCAGACUCCUACGGGAGGCAGCAGUGGGGAAUAUUGCACAAUGGGCGGAAGCCUGAUGCAGCAACGCCGCGUGCGGGAUGACGGCCUUCGGGUUGUAAACCGCUUUCGCCUGUGACGAAGCGUGAGUGACGGUAAUGGGUAAAGAAGCACCGGCUAACUACGUG